rnacentral:rRNA from 1 species
UACAGAGGGGGCAAGCGUUAUUCGGAAUUAUUGGGCGUAAAGGGCGCGUAGGCGGCCAUUCAAGUGACGGGUGAAAGCCCUCGGCUUAACCGAGGAACUGCCUGUCAGACUGGAUGGCUUGAGACCGGGAGAGGUGAGUGGAAUUCCCAGUGUAGCGGUGAAAUUCGUAGAUAUCAGGUGGAACACCAGUGGCGAAGGCGGCUUUCUGGACGAUUACUGACGCUGAGACGCGAAAGCGUGGGGAGCAAACAGG